rnacentral:lncRNA from 1 species
AUGGGGCGGGGAGGCGGGGAGGCGAGGGGAGUGGAAGGGAGGGAAGGGCGAGUGAGGCGCCGCCACCGCCGGCAACUUUGUGAGCGAGUUCAGUGCGUGCGUGAGCGAGUAAGCGAAAAAGUCAGUGCGGCGCCGACUUCCCGGGAGGAGGGUCCCCGGGGAGGGCCAGGGAGAGCGCGCGGCGGACGCGCCCCGGACGCGCGGUGGCACCGGGAGGCCGGGCAGAGCGGUUCGGUUUCAAAUGUGAAUGACAGUAAACUAAUAUCCCAGAUUCCUGUAUAAGAAGUAGAUCAAAAGGACUGUACUUUCAGGUUUUGAGAGAAUACCUCAGGUUGGACUCAAACGCAAGAUUUACCGGUGACUUUGAAGUGGAAUGAG